rnacentral:tRNA from 1 species
GGGGGUAUAGCUCAGCUGGGAGAGCAGCAGACUGAAGUGUGUUAUGGUGGACCAUCUGUGCACAUUCUGAAGGUCCCGCGUUCGAUCCGCGGUACCCCCA